rnacentral:rRNA from 1 species
UUACAAAUGGGAUGAGCCCAAAUAAAUGGUUAAAGUUUAGAAUGCUGUGUUUUAAAUCAAAUUUAGAAAGAUUAUCUUUCAAAGCUCAAAAGUUGGAUUAAUAGCAUCCAUCUUUUAAAAAGUGUGUAGUAACUUAUGAG